rnacentral:piRNA from 1 species
GUGGAGCCGCCUCAAGCUGGAGGAC